AGUGAACGCUGGCGGCAUGCCUAACACAUGCAAGUCGAACGGUAACAGGCCCGCAAGGGUGCUGACGAGUGGCGGACGGGUGAGGAAUACAUCGGAAUUUGCCCAGUCGUGGGGGAUAACGUAGGGAAACUUACGCUAAUACCGCAUACGACCUAACGGUGAAAGCGGGGGAUCGCAAGACCUCGCGCGGAUGGAUAAGCCGAUGUCGGAUUAGCUAGUUGGCGGGGUAAAGGCCCACCAAGGCGACGAUCCGUAGCUGGUCUGAGAGGAUGAUCAGCCACACUGGGACUGAGACACGGCCCAGACUCCUACGGGAGGCAGCAGUGGGGAAUAUUGGACAAUGGGGGCAACCCUGAUCCAGCAAUGCCGCGUGUGUGAAGAAGG
rnacentral:rRNA from 1 species